rnacentral:rRNA from 1 species
UACGGAGGGUGCAAGCGUUAUCCGGAUUCACUGGGUUUAAAGGGUGCGUAGGUGGGCAGGUAAGUCAGUGGUGAAAUCUCCGGGCUUAACCCGGAACUGCCGUUGAUACUAUCUGUCUUGAAUGUAGUGGAGGUGAGCGGAAUAUGUCAUGUAGCGGUGAAAUGCUUAGAUAUGACAUAGAACACCAAUUGCGAAGGCAGCUUACUACACAGUUAUUGACACUGAGGCACGAAAGCGUGGGGAUCAAACAGG